ensembl:lncRNA
GUUAGCCCUGGUUUCAUACCCGUCCUCCGGUGCCCCCUACCCUGGUGUCGGAGCAUGUUGGUAUGUGCUAAUGCGGAACUGUCAGCUCUGUAUGUUUACAUGGCAUGUACUUUGCCCAGUAACAUUAUCCCCACGUGACUCCUUGGUCCCAUACGGAGCUGGAUGCGUAAAUUCGGGAUUAACCCUGGUUCGAUGGUUUCCAUGGAGUACAUUUGUAUGGGAACGUACCCUGCUCUUAAUCGGAAUAAAAGCUAAGGACAGACAACACAGCAGUAUCACCUGAUGCUGCUGAUAGACCUCCAGCCGACUUCUACAAAGACACUCUUUGGAUGUAAAUGACUGGGAACAAUAAGCUCGGUGAUGGACAGCUAAUGGGUGAACUGAUUAUGAUGAUCUGCACUGGCGUUGACCUGUCUCCAAUGAUACUGCUACAGAAACAAAACAAAAAUGUUUCUUCCGUUCUCCGCAGUGACACACUUACAAGAGUACGGUGCAAAGAGAGCCUGCCCGGUGUUCUGUUGUGCACCCUUGUCGAGAUGUGCAUAUCCUCACUCAAAACAACGGCUUUGAGACGUGUGAGAGAGAAAUGCUCCCUUUUCUUUCACAAAAUGCACUCCUUUUGUCAUUAUCAUAUGUUUUACUUUAUUUAAUGUUAAAACUUUGAGAGUUUCUAUAAUUUGUACAGUGCUCCAGCUGUAAAUGUAAGUCACAUGAAGCUUAUGAUUUCUUGUUGUUCAUGUUUACCUUAUAUUGCAUUUAGCUGAUGAAUCAAAAUAGCUUUAUGAUAUUCCCAAUACAACAUCAUGUUAUGGGCUCUUUUUGCUACAGACAUUUAGAUCUAGAGCAUGCGUUACUCUUUCAUAAAUAUUCAAAAAUAUUCUAGUUUUAACUUAAGUAAAUAAGCAGGAAAAUAUAACAAUGAAGCUGCUGAAAUAAAUAACAGUUUGAGGGUUUUGUGAAAGACAAGGGAGCAUUUUGCUCUUACAUGUCCCAAAGCAGUUUAUGUGUGAGGAGAUGCAAACCUUGAUAACGGUGCACGAUUCGGCAGAACAACAGAACUUCCAUUGUUGUAAGUCCAGGCCAUCUCACCUUCUUACUCACACUGGAGGUAAUUGUUUGUGACUCAUAAUGAAGAGCUUUUGUAUUUUACAUUCCAGGUCAUUGCUGCCUGUGCUGGUCUCUCCUGCAGACCUGCACACUGGGCCAAUGCUGUUGUCACCGUCAUAUACUCAAAGUCUGAAACAGUUUCCAAUGGGAUAAACCAACAAUUUCUUAAUAAAGUGAAUGCCCUUCAGUCAUUUAUUGCUGGUGUAAAUACAAGUUAAUAUUUAUAUUAUAAAAAGAUGCAUGGACUAACAUGAAUGCAUGAAUAACCCUGAGGCCAGCUAUAGUGCUAUACUGUGUUUAAGCAGUAAGUGGCUGAACCUAUCCAAUUUUGCAUUUAAAACGUGGUUGUAAAAAGGUAACUUUGAGAAAACUAACUAUGGAUUUCAUCUAACUGAUUUCUUUGAAAGGCUCCACAGUAUGUCUUAGGAUAAUUUUACAAAAUAAUUUAUGGAGCAGUGGUGUCUGACUGCUGGAGCAAUGAUAUAAAAAACACUUCUGAACAUAAACAUUUAAUGAUGGAUUGCUUUGAUAUCAGUGGAGUUUUUGGGGUAUUUUUUAUUCUCUUAUAACAAAAUAGACAGCACCUGUCGUUGAUACUGUGAUAACUACAAGGCAAACAAGUUUGGAUACUGGGAUAUUAACGUGUCAUCUAUAAUUUGAGACAAAUAGUUCUAAAUGGUAAAUAUGGAGAUAGGUUUAGCUUAAUAGUUAAGUAUUAAUAAGGCAACAAUAGCCGUGUGUAGCAACAUUAGCGUUAGCUGAGGGAGCAGCUGACAGUCAGGCAAUUGCCUUUCUGUUCCCACUUUAGACAAAUCAUAAAUACAUUAAAUAUCCAGAAGAACAAUUUGUACAGCCCUCCAAACACACGAUAAUAACCAUAAGGCAAACUUAAAAUAUAUAUAUCUAUAAAGUGUAGCGAUGAAGGAAAAACACUAUCACUGGGCUGCGUCUCACCUCAUAGCCCUAUAGUCACGUGAUUUUAUCAAACCGAAGUGCUCUUGAUUUUAUUGCUUAUUUCUUUAUAAACACAGCAAUGUGUUGUUUUAAAACUCAUUGUUACUUGAGCAAUGA